ensembl:lncRNA
GUUUUCUCUUCGAGAAUCCAACAUUUAAGCGAAAAUCACGCGUUUUCUCAAAUCCCCCAUUUAAGCGAAAAUCACGCGUUUUCUCUUCGGAAAUCCCCCAUUUAACCAGAAAAUCAUGCGUUUUCUCUUCGUAAAUCCUCCAUUUAACUUGAAAAUCACGCGUUUUCUCUUCGCAAAUCCCCCAUUUAAGUGAAAAUCACGCGUUUUCUCUUCGAGAAUCCAACAUUUAAGCGAAAAUCACGCGUUUUCUCAAAUCCCCCAUUUAAGCGAAAAUCACGCGUUUUCUCUUCGCAAAUCCCCCAUUUAACCAGAAAACCAAGCAUUUUCUCUUUUCGAGAAUCCCCCAUUUAACCCGAAAAUCAUGUGUUUUCUCAAAACCCCCAUUUAAGCGAAAAUCACACGUUUUCCCUUCGCAAAUCCCCCAUUUAUGCGAAAAACACGGGUUUUCUUUUCGAAAAUCACACAUUUAUGCGUAAAUCACGUUUUCUCUUUGAGAGUCCCCCAUUUAACCGAAAAUCACGCGUUUUCUCUUCGAGAAUCCCCCAUUUAACCAGAAAACCAAGCAUUUUCUCUUCGAGAAUCCCCCAUUUAACCCGAAAAUCAUGUGUUUUCUCAAAUCCCCCAUUUAAGCGAAAAUCACGCGUUUUCUCUUCGAGAAUCCCCCAUUUAACCAAAAUCACGCGUUUUCUC